rnacentral:rRNA from 1 species
AGAUUAAACUGAAGAGUUUGAUCCUGGCUCAGAUUGAACGCUGGCGGCAUGCCUUACACAUGCAAGUCGAACGGCAGCACGGAGCUUGCUCUGGUGGCGAGUGGCGAACGGGUGA